GCCGGUUUCUCUAUGUCUGAUUAACAUAACCCUCAACCCGUGGUUGGUUAACCACCUGGUAGUUUGAAUUGACAGUUUCAUUUUCACCAAGUUCUAAUUAGCUGACUUCGGACUAUUUUGAUUAUUGUGAAUAUUUUACGAAAAAGGUCACACAAAUUGCUUUGUGAAUACAUAAAAACUGCAUGACAGCUGACAUUUGUUUACAUUUAUUUGAUAAUUUUCAUCCCGCGCAUUUCCAAGUUUUACGCUGCUUAUUUAAUAAUUUUCAUUUGUGUAUAGAAUAAUGGAAAACAAACAAAGAAGGCUUCCAAAUUUCACUAGCACUGAGGAAAAUAUGUUAAUUACGUUGGCGGAGCGGCACGCAAAUCUUAUUGAAAAUAAAAAAACGGAUGCAGUGACCUGGGAGAAAAAGCGGAAGGCCUGGGAAACUAUCGACGUCGAAUUUGAGGCUCAAGUUGGAAUCAGGAGAGGUGCAAAAAAUUUACGCGAAAAAUAUGAGAACUUAAAGAGGAGGGCCAGAAAAUGCUUGGCGGAAGAAAAAAUGGAACUUUAUAAAACAGGAGGUGGAGUAUAUAAGCAGCGGCGGGACAUCAACACAGAAAGCCUUUCAAGAAAUCGAAUAUGUGGACGAUAUUAAUGGGGAUCUGCGCUCCGCUACCGAAACAAUCAAGGAAAGCCCGAUCAAAGACCAAAACAUUGAUAUACGCCUCAACCCCUCGCUUGGAAAAGCACGGUUUCUACAACAACAAUCUUUGGACGACUCUAUGCCAAGUCAAACAGCGAAUGAUGUGGAGAUUAUUGAGGGCGCAGAGAUUGAAAAUACACUUGAUUGGAGCUCAUGGAAUCCAACUAGUUUGCGGACGAAAAAAGCUAAUAAGCUGGAGGUCAAAUCAGAGCAGAAAAAAAAUAAG